rnacentral:rRNA from 1 species
CAUGUUGCUUCCCCAGACCAGUGGCCACUGCUGCCAGCCCAGCCCCUAAUGGGUUCCUGGGUUGAGGUGUCUGGGGAAGGGCUCAAUAUCAAACUUUUCAACCCACUAGUCGUCUGAGAAGGCCAUGUGCCGCAAUAUUUAAACAAGUUAAAACUUUCAACAACGGAUCUCUUGGCUCUCGCAUCGAUGAAGAACGCAGCGAAAUGCGAUAAGUAAUGUGAAUUGCAGAAUUCAGUGAAUCAUCGAAUCUUUGAACGCACAUUGCGCCCUUUGGUAUUCCUUAGGGCAUGCCUGUUCGAGCGUCACUAAAAACCGACUCACAUAUCGUGUGGUAUUGGUAGAAGUGGAUAGUACUAACACUACUUUGUCUUACUCUGCUGAAAUGAAUAGGCCAGAAAAGUGGACCAUGGUAAUAGAUUCCAGGAGUGUUUUAAAAUGCUAUACUAGUCUUAUCCAAGUCAUAUUCUGAGCCACUGGACCCCCCAUUUAGUCCAAACAACAGUGGUUGACCUCGGAUCAGGUAGGGAUACCCGCUGAACUUAAGCAUAUCAAUAAGCGGAGGAAAAGAAACCAACAGGGAUUGCCUUAGUAACGGCGAGUGAAGCGGCAAAAGCUCAAAUUUGAAAUCUGGUGCCUCUGGUGCCCGAGUUGUACUUUGGAGAGGCAUCUUCUGGAGGGACCCAGCCUAUGUGCCUUGGAACAGGACGUCAUAGAGGGUGAGAAUCCCGUCCUUGGCUGGAUGUUCCCUCCUGUAUGUAGUGUCUUCAACGAUUCGAGUUGUUUUGGGAAUGCAGCUCAAAAUGGGGU